rnacentral:rRNA from 1 species
GUCGCGCGGUCAGCAAUGGCAGCGGCGGACGGGUGCGUAACGCGUAGGAACGUGUCUAGAGGUGGGGGACAACCCUGGGAAACUGGGGCUAAUACCGCAUAUGGGCUGAGGCCCAAAGCCGUGAGGCGCCUUUGGAGCGGCCUGCGUCCGAUUAGCUAGUUGGUGGGGUAAAGGCCUACCAAGGCUCCGAUCGGUAGCUGGUCUGAGAGGACGAUCAGCCACACUGGGACUGAGACACGGCCCAGACUCC